rnacentral:rRNA from 1 species
ACKGCUCAGUAACACGUGGACAACCUACCCUCAGCACGGGGAUAAACCCGGGAAACUGGGUAUAAUACCCGAUAGUCCUCGAAUGCUGGAAUGCAUCGAGUUCGAAAACUCCGGUGCCCAAGGAUGGGUCUGCGGCCUAUCAGGUAGUAGUGGGUGUAGCGUACCUACUAGCCUACGACGGGUACGGGUUGUGAGAGCAAGAGCCCGGAGAUGGAUUCUGAGACACGAAUCCAGGCCCUACGGGGUGCAGCAGGCGCGAAAACUUUACAAUGCCGGCAACGGCGAUAAGGGAACCUCGAGUGCCAGGAUACAAUCCUGGCUGUCGUAAUGCCUAAAAAGCAUUUCAUAGCAAGGGCCGGGCAAGACCGGUGCCAGCCGCCGCGGUAACACCGGCGGCUCGAGUGGUGACCGCUAUUAUUGGGUUUAAAGGGUCUGUAGCCGGCCGGAUAAGUCUCUUGAGAAAUCUGGCCGCUCAACGGUCAGGCUUUCAGGAGAUACUGUCUGGCUCGAGGCCGGGAGAGGUGAGAGGUACUUCAGGGGUAGGGGUGAAAUCUUGUAAUCCUUGAAGGACCACCAGUGGCGAAGGCGUCUCACCAGAACGGACCUGACGGCAAGGGACGAAAGCUAGGGGCACGAACCGGAUUAGAUACCCGGGUAGUCCUAGCCGUAAACGAUACUCGCUAGGUGUUGGCCACGGUGCGACCGUUGUCGGUGCCGUAGGGAAGCCGUGAAGCGAGCCACCUGGGAAGUACGGCCGCAAGGCUGAAACUUAAAGGAAUUGGCGGGGGAGCAC